rnacentral:rRNA from 1 species
GGCCCGCACAAGCGGUGGAGUAUGUGGUAUAAUUCGAUGCAACGCGAUGAACCUUACAUCGACUUGACAUCCUGAGAAUCCUCGUAGAACUAGAGGAGUGCCCUUCGCGGAAUUCAGUGACAGGUGCUGCAUGGCUGUCGUCAGCUCGUGCCGUGAGGUGUUGCGUUAAGUCCCGCAACGAGCGCAACCCCUAUUGCAUAGUUGCCAUCACAUAAUGGUGAGCACUCUAGUGAGACUGCCCGGGUCAACCGGGAGGAAGGUGGGGACGACGUCACGUCAUCAUGGCCCUUACGUCCAGGGCUACACACGUACUACAAUGGUGGAUACAGAGCGUCGCAAAGCCGCGAGGUCGAGCCAAUCCCAGAAAAUCCAUCCCAGUCCGGUUCGCAGUCUGCAACUCGACUGUGUGAAGUUGGAAUCGCUAGUAAUCCCAGAUCAGCAUGCUGGGUGAAUACGUUCCCGGCCGUUGUACACACCGCCCGUCACACCACGAAGGCUGUUCUACCC